UGAGAGUUUGAUCCUGGCUCAGGAUGAACGCUGGCGGCGUGGAUAAGGCAUGCAAGUCGAGCGAGACUUCGGUCUAGCGGCGAACGGGGUAGUACAAAGUAGGAACGUGCCUGUAACUCUGGGAUAACUCCGAGAAAUCGGAGCUAAUACCAGAUAGUCCCGCAAGGGUAAAGUUUCGGCGGUUACAGAUCGGCCUACUCCCCAUCAGCUAGUUGGUGAGGUAAUGGCUUACCAAGGCUAUGACGGGUAGGGGACGUGAGAGCGUGACCCCCACCACUCGCACUGAGAUACUGGCGAGACACCUACGGGUGGCUGCAGUCGAGAAUCUUCGGCAAUGGGCGCAAGCCUGACCGAGCGACGCCGCGUGCAGGAGGAAGCCCUUCGGGGUGUAAACUGCUUUUAUGAGGGAACAAGACUUCGGUUUGAGUGUACCUCAUGAAUAAGGGGCUGCUAACUCUGUAACUGCUAAUAGGCCAGCAGCAGCGGUAAUACAGAGGCCCCGAGCGUUAUCCGGAAUCAUUGGGCGUAAAGGAUCCGUAGGCGGCGUUGUAAGUUGCCUGUUAAAUACCCCGGCUCAACCGGGGAAGUGCAGGCAAAACUGCAAUGCUUGAGCGUGUGAGAGGCUGAUGGAACGCAUAGAGUAGGGAUGAAAUCCGUUGAUACUAUGCGGAACACCAAAGGCGAAGGCAUUCAGCUGGCACACCGCUGACGCUGAGGGAUGAAAGCCUGGGGAGCGAAACGGAUUAGAUACUGACCCGUGUAGUCCAGGCCCUAAACGAUGUCGACUAGUCAUGUGGAGUGUCGACCCUCCACGUGGCGUAGCUAACGCGUUAAGUCGACCGCCUGGGAAUUACGAUCGCAAGAUUAAAACUCAAAGGAAUAGACGGGGACCCGUACAACCGGUGGAGCGUCUGGUUUAAUUCGACAAUAAGCGAAGAACCUUACCACGGCUUGACAUGCUCUAGAAAGCUUCUGGAAACAGGAGCCCUCCUUACGGACUGGAAGCACAGGUGCUGCAUGGUUGUCGUCAGCUCGUAUCGUGAGACGUUCCGUUAAGUCGGGUAACGAGCGCUACCCCUGCUGUCUGUUAUAAGUGUCAGACAGGACUGCCGACUCUACGUCGGAGGAAGGCGGGGAUGACGUCAAAUCAGCAUGGCCCUUACGUCGUGGGCGACACAGGCGCUACAAUGGGUGGGACAAUGGGUUGCCAAACCGCAAGGUGGAGCUAAUCCCAUCAAACCCAUCCUCAGUUCAGAUUGGGGUCUGCAAUUCGACCCCAUGAAGUCGGAAUCGGUAGUAAUCGCGGAUCAGCCACGCCGCGGUGAAUACGUUCUCGGGUCUUGUACUCACAUUACACAACGCGUCGGGCAGUUUGUCAAACACGCCCGUCAACUCAGGAAAGUCAGCAAUACCCGAAGCACCUCCGAUAACAGGAGGUUCGAAGGUAAGGUUGAUGAUCAGGAGUAAGUCGUAAGGCGACAUAGGGAGAAUCAUGAACAAGGUGUCCCUAGGGGAAUCUGGGGAUGGAUCACCUCCUU
rnacentral:rRNA from 1 species